rnacentral:rRNA from 1 species
UACGUAGGGGGCUAGCGUUGUCCGGAUUUAUUGGGCGUAAAGAGCGUGUAGGCGGCCAGGUAGGUCCGGUGUGAAAACUCGAGGCUUAACCUCGAGAUGUCAUCGGAAACCAUCUGGCUAGAGUCCGGAAGAGGAAAGUGGAAUUCCUGGUGUAGCGGUGAAAUGCGCAGAUAUCAGGAAGAACACCAAUGGCGAAAGCAGCUUUCUGGGACGGUACCGACGCUGAGACGCGAAAGCGUGGGGAGCGAACAGG